CUUUUGUUUUGAAUCCUAGGGGCAUAGUCCGGAAGGUGUGCUUCAAAAUGAAUCUGCACAUGGAUUGCUGAACUGAGCGUAUGGUUUAACAACAUGCAUGCACAUAUUUCCACUCCGUACAAGGCCGACUUGUAUGACCAAAUCUCUGUCCCUGUCCUUCCAUUUGUCCGUCUUUGACAUUUUCCAUUUCUCUCUCUAUGCACCCUCUCUCCUCGGUGUGAACAGCGGAGACUGUGCAGGUGUUUCUUUAGAGAGAAACAUACAGCAGAAAUUAAGUAGAGGUGUCACUGUCACGGCAGGCAAUGUGUAGGAUCUGCACAGCAACUGUAAAUUGACAUGAGCAAGAUUUGUGUGUGUGUGUGUGUGUGAAUAAGUGAGAGAACAAAAAAUGAGCAGAAAGUUAGAUAAAGAAAAGGUAGACCAAUAAAGAAAGAAAAACAAAUGUGGCAGAAAAAAGACAUGUGGAGGUGAUGGACUGGCAAGGAAGCAAAACACACACAUAUAUAUACACACACACACACACACACAAGCCAUGCGGCGUGGGGGGAGGAGAGAGACAUUCUAGUUAAGACUGCCUUCAUGGAUCACUCUCACUUGCAUAAAGAGGGACAACUUUAUUGAGCGCAGGAAGAAGAAGUGCGAGGUGCAAAAUGAGGGACAACUUUAUUUUUUUCCAGGAUAAAAAAAGCAGAAGUUUGUGUGAGAGUGAGAGGAGAGAGCUCAUAGAGCACGAGAGGGGAGGAGAGAGGGAGAGAGAGAGAGAGAGAGAGAGAGAGAGAGGGGAAGGGGGAGAAAGACAAGAAAAGAGACUCAGAGAGACAGACAGAUGGAGAGAGAAGCAUGCAAGCGGCGGAGAGGAGGAGAAACAAAGCGUGUUGACUGAGGAAGUGUGCGUGCCAUGCGGGCCAUGUGCUCAGCCUAAACUCCUUUUGAUGCCCAUCAGCGUAAAGGCGACAAAGACUUGUGAUGGAGGGCUCCUGUCCCGCUGGUAAGAAUCACACGUUAUCUCUGAUUUUAAAUGAAAACAGUGUGAAUUCAUAUAUCAAAGGGAUGCAUGUAGAAACCAGACUCUCCUUGUCAAAAUUAGGUUUUUGUUAAAGCUGCAUUAGUUCAUUUUUAGAAAAAUAACUUUUUGUCAUAUUCACUGAAACUUUCAAAAAUCAGGUUCCUCUGGCUCCUCCUAGUGCUCCUAAUGGCAUUUGCUAGAAUCCACUGGGCCUGAACAAAAUUAUGAAGUUAUUUUUAUAUAAGUUAUCAACUGCAGCUUUAAUGUAGCGUAUUUGUUAAUUAACUUUGGUUGAGUUUUACAUGUCCUACUGCUUGCUCACACUUAAAUGAACAAAUCAAUAAAAAAAAGAUAUUUAGAUCAAGAUUUCACAAUAAAAUAGCACACUUCCCAAUGCAUCUACUACAUCUAAAAACCCUUCAUCACACUCAAGAGUGUCCUUUCAUUUGAUCAGAAUGCUCCCUUGUAGCUUUGAUUUAAAAAUAACUGCAACCUACUGAGCUCAGCUGUGUGAGAAGCUCUUCACUUACAGUAGCCAACAGUACAUGUGCACAUAAAACAUUUUAGUGUACUUAAUGUAAACCACAAAAAAAAAAACGGCAGCAUGAUUCACACAAAAACACACACACACGAGUGUACAGCCCACACACUCCCACGUGUUUCCCCUGUCUCUGCUCUCUUCAGAUGUAAGGCACAUGACAUCAUUAAAGAGGUGCUCUAAAAAUUAGUGUGGGUACUGCAUGUGAGUAGGCAGUGUGUGUGUGUUUUUCU
rnacentral:lncRNA from 15 species